CGGGGCGUAGCGCAGCCUGGUAGCGCGUCUGGUUUGGGACCAGAAGGUCGGCGGUUCAAAUCCGCCCGCCCCGACCA
rnacentral:tRNA from 1 species